ACAAUGACUCUCGGCAACGGAUAUCUCGGCUCUCGCAUCGAUGAAGAACGUAGCGAAAUGCGAUACUUGGUGUGAAUUGCAGAAUCCCGUGAACCAUCGAGUCUUUGAACGCAAGUUGCGCUUGAAGCCAUUAGGCUAAAGGCACGUCUGCCUGGGCGUCACGC
rnacentral:rRNA from 1 species